rnacentral:rRNA from 1 species
AACGUAGGUGGCAAGCGUUAUCCGGAUUUACUGGGCGUAAAGCGUGCGCAGGCGGCUUUGCAAGACAGAUGUGAAAUCCCCGGGCUUAACCUGGGAACUGCAUUUGUGACUGCAUGGCUGGAGUGCGGCAGAGGGGGAUGGAAUUCCGCGUGUAGCAGUGAAAUGCGUAGAUAUGCGGAGGAACACCGAUGGCGAAGGCAAUCCCCUGGGCCUGCACUGACGCUCAUGCACGAAAGCGUGGGGAGCGAACAGG